GAUGAACGCUGGCGGCGUGCCUAAUACAUGCAAGUCGAGCGAACGGACGAGAAGCUUGCUUCUCUGAUGUUAGCGGCGGACGGGUGAGUAACACGUGGAUAACCUACCUAUAAGACUGGGAUAACUUCGGGAAACCGGAGCUAAUACCGGAUAAUAUUUUGAACCGCAUGGUUCAAAAGUGAAAGGCGGUCUUGCUGUCACUUAUAGAUGGAUCCGCGCUGCAUUAGCUAGUUGGUAAGGUAACGGCUUACCAAGGCAACGAUGCAUAGCCGACCUGAGAGGGUGAUCGGCCACACUGGAACUGAGACACGGUCCAGACUCCUACGGGAGGCAGCAGUAGGGAAUCUUCCGCAAUGGGCGAAAGCCUGACGGAGCAACGCCGCGUGAGUGAUGAAGGUCUUCGGAUCGUAAAACUCUGUUAUUAGGGAAGAACAUACGUGUAAGUAACUGUGCACAUCUUGACGGUACCUAAUCAGAAAGCCACGGCUAACUACGUG
rnacentral:rRNA from 1 species